UACGUAGGUGGCAAGCGUUAUCCGGAUUUACUGGGCGUAAAGAGUGCGUAGGCGGACUUUUAAGUCAGAUGUGAAAUUCCCGAGCUUAACUUGGGGGGUGCAUUUGAUACUGGGAGUCUAGAGUGUGGGAGAGGAGAAUGGAAUUCCUAGUGUAGCGGUGAAAUGCGUAGAGAUUAGGAAGAACACCAGUGGCGAAGGCGAUUCUCUGGACCAUAACUGACGCUGAGGCACGAAAGCGUGGGGAGCAAACAGG
rnacentral:rRNA from 1 species